AAAUAUCUGCUGCAGGCACAUUAAAACAACAACAGACAAGCAAACAAACCACUUGAUAGAAAUCUGUGGGCUGCAGAACAUCGCAGUAGAGAUUCUUUGCAGAAUUCUGUGCAGUCUUUGCUUACCUUUGUUGUUUCCUAGGAUGGAUUUUUAUUUUCAUAGCAUUCUCAUUUGUGAUUUAAUACGGCUUGCUCAUACAAUUAAUUGUGUUAUUAUAAUUGUGGCACCAGAGUAGUAUUUCUGUUGUUUGAGGCACAGUAAUGCAAUACUAUUAAUCAUAAUGCUGUAUGAAAAUUCCACUUUCUCUCUGCACAUCAGACAAGCAUCGAAGAAGUGUGCGUUGAACUUCUCUCCUAUAACUCUAUUGUUUACAGUUCAGUUCUACAGUGCUACACUGCACUCCAUUGCUAGCAGACCUCAGUGUGGGUCCACAUUACUGAACAUCAUCUUUACUGCAGCUGACAGGAAGAGUAGUGUUGGCCAGAGAGAAUGUGAGGAAAGAAACUAGAGGAUAUUUUCACUACUUUUAUGCACUUAUGCAGUGCGGGCACCUGGAAUAAUGUAACAGCAGAGCACACUGAGAGGAGACAGAAUGCUAUACGGCUUGGUGAAAUAGGGAAGAAAAUAAAUAAUCAAGGCACUGUGGCAAUUCCUGUUAAUAACACAGUAUGUCCAACAUGCAGGAACUUGAAGGAAAGGCAAACAAGUCAAUUGCUGAAUAUUCAGGCCCCAGGGAGCUUGUUCUCUGGAUUCCUCCUGGUCCUAACACAGCAGCUGAGAAUAUGCCAGCCCAGUCCUGCCCUCUUCUUCAGGGCUCACCUGGAAGCCAUGUGGAGCUUCGUGCCAUCUGCUGGUCUCCUCCUGUUGUCCCAUCAUGACUGCUUAGAGGAUGCAAGUCCCAGUCCUGCCGCCUUCUUCAGGACUUGCCUCGAGGCUGAGGGGAGUUCAAGGCCAUCCAUUAGACUUCUAUUGUUCCACAUAGCAGCUCAGAGAGCACUAGAAUCAGUCCUGCCUCUUUCAGAACUCACCUCAAGGCUGCAGGGGUCAUCCAUUGGACUCCUCCAUUCCUAA
rnacentral:lncRNA from 1 species